rnacentral:pre_miRNA from 1 species
ACAAUAUUCGGACCGACGGUCUACCGAGCAAUUACGCCCGUUCGAUGGAAGAGUUUCCUUUUGUCCU